GCCUGAGUGGCUCAGUCGGUGAAGCGUCUGACUUCAGCUCAGGUCAUAAUCUCCCUGUUUGUGGGUUUGAUCCCCACAUUGGGCU
rnacentral:tRNA from 1 species